rfam:Oryza barthii chromosome 2, whole genome shotgun sequence.
AAUAAAUAUAGUUUUGUAUUGUCCUUACCCAACAUUUGACCGUUCGUCUUAUUUGAUUUUUUUAAUUAUUUUUAUUUAUUAGAUGAUAAAUAUGAAUAUUACUUUAUAUGUGACUAAUUAUUUUAUAAAAUUUUUAAAUAAUACGAACGGUUAAAUAUUAAAAACGGAUAUCCACGACUACACUUAUU